rnacentral:rRNA from 1 species
AUUGAACGCUGGCGGCAGGCCUAACACAUGCAAGUCGAGCGAGCGGCGGACGGGUGUGUAAAGUCUGGGAAAAUGCGUGAUGUAGGGGGAUAACUACUGGAAACGGUAGCUCAUACAGCGUACCAUCUUAUGUGUCCAGAUGGGAUUAGCGCGUGGGUGGGGUAACGGCUCUCCUGGGCGACGAUCCCUAGCUGGUCUGAGCGGAUGACCAGCCACACUGGAGCUGAGACACGGUCCAGACUCCUACGGGAGGGAGCAGUGGGGAAUAUUGCACAAUGGGCGCAAGCCUGAUGCAGCCAUGCCGCUGGUAUGAAGAAGGCCUUCGGGUUGUAAAGCACUUUCAGCGGGGAGGCGUUACCCGCAGAAGAAGCACCGGCUAACUCCGUGCAAGCAGCCGCGGUAAUUC